UCAACAAGCAGACACAAUUUCUAACUCGUCGGUAGUCAUCGUUCUAGCUGAAAAGGACACUAUGACACUGAAGCGAGUUGGAAAUAGUGGUUCUACUUGAGCAA
ensembl:miRNA mir-63 ncRNA